GUGGUUUCGGGUCGUUUCCCCCUCCAGCAGCAGAUCCCGGGGGAGGCUAGCCCGGGGACGGGCCCCUGCGGCUGCUCUGUCCGGCCGGGCCUUAUGGGUCGCGUUCAACUGCCUGGACUCAUAGGGAGUUGAAGCGUACAGAGACGUAUUGUCACUUUCCUGUUCACUCGGUACUUUUUGGACCUGGUCAACUCCAAGCAAACGUGAUGGGAUAGAAAUCUCGGGGAGAGAAGAUCGCAGCUUUUCCAGGCGUAUGGUCACAAAAAGGACAGGAAUAAAAGCAUCCGUGGUUGUUCUCAUAGGGGGGGAAAAAAGAAGUCACCUGGCAUCAAUCCAGGAUGGAUUUAGAAACAGUCCCAGUCCACAGCACAGCGUUCUAAGCUGGCAUACAGCGUUCCAGGUGAUUUCCCGCUUGCAAACUCUCUGCCCGAGUCCCUGUACAGGAUCGCACCGGGUGGACUUCAGAGGGCACCUGGGAACAUCUUGCAGGACAAGGGGUUUGCAUCAAACGUCCCUGGGGAAAAUUUUACUCCUCAUCUUGAUGUGCACUGUCGCUGCCCCUUUUCUCCACAGAAGUGGCUGCAUUUCUCUUGCACUGUGUGUAUGGUGCAUAAAGCAUUUUGGAUGAAAAGUCUAUAGAAGUGUGAUACUAAUAAUAUUUUACAGCUUUAAUUACCAUGAUUGUAGUGCCUAAGGGUGUAUGCAAAAACAAUUUGAGGGGGAGGAGAGAAGGCAGCACUGUGAACAUUUUUGUGGUUUUGCUGGGCAAUGCGCAAUUGAGUUUUCUCAUGGGAACUGCACUAUGCCAGGAAGAAAAGCUGCCUGCACCCCUUUGUCUACUCCAUUGGGAUACUGGAUCACACCCCAAAGUAGAAGACACUGCUAUAGUCAUUUCAAUUUCAAGUAAAAGCUAGUCUGCCCAUGCUUGUGUUUUGUAGAGAAGCUCCAAAGGCAGGUGCUGUCCAUUUCUGCAUGCAACAGGUAUUUUUCC
rnacentral:lncRNA from 1 species